AUUUUUUUUAUUAGGUUUUUCACACUCGCUGCAAAAUCAUGCUAACAAUCUCGUGGAAUGGCUUUUUGCCAAACACGUCCCCCCUUCAAACUCUCUUCUGCUCUCCUCGUCAUUGACAAGCCACUCUCCUCUGCUUUCCUCAAGCCAUUAUCGAAAGGUAGCAAAUUCAGCCAUUGCUGUUCGACUAGAAGCGGCCCAAGUUUGUUUUCAUCUCUUUUAUGCAUUGAGUGAAGCAAAUUUUAGUUAAUAUUUUGUUUUAGGAGCAAUAUGGAACAAGCAAAUAGAUUCUAACGAAUCUCUGUCUCCAUCGUCGCCAUCGCCAAGGAACCAAGAAUCAGAAACAGCAUCGGUUACUGCAUCGAGUGCAGUUGGAGACCUAGUUAACUCUUUCAACAAGCAACGAAUCUUCAAAGAAGUCACACUCGCUUCCCGCGCCGAUCUCUGUGAUGCCUGUAUAGAGUUCUUUUUCCUUUGUGUCUGUGGCCUCCAUUUCUUCCUCAAAUCCCUCCGAUCCAUAGCCCAUCUGAGUCCUCUAUCUUUUCUUGUCCCACACCUAAUUCAUCAUCGACCUCCAAGUGGUUCCAAUGUUGUUUGAGCAUUCAUUGAUGAAAAAUGAGGAUGACAUAGCGGGAAGCUUGGAUCAUAUGUUUAGUUUGGAGCUAAUGAAGAUUAAAAGUCCUUCCACGAAUGCGGAAGUUGCUCUAGCGCUUAGAGUCUUGGAAGGUUGCUAUCUAUUUCACCUGAAAAACACUCAUUUGGCCCAUCUACACAAAGCCAUCCUGGUGAUUCUAUAUAUACUUCUAAGAAAGUGUAUUUAGAUUUGUGCUUCUAUAGAAAGAUGACUUAAAUUAAUGAGUGACAGUUCUUGUUGAUGGAAAAUGGGCAGAGGGAUUGAAAAGUGACAUUGGAUGUCAUUGUGGAAUAUAUCAUAAAGCAUGUCCCAUUGUGUCAAAACAAAAAAAUUAAGGUUUUGAUGAAUGUGUUACUAACUCGAGCCGUUCUUGAAAAAGUGGUGCAUGCUUGGAUGCUUUAAUCUCAAUAAUGUUGGAUUCUUCAGCCAAUCAAAUGGAUUUUGAAGCAUGUAAUGCCAUUGAUGAAGUUGUAGAGCUGGUACAAAGCAACCAAGUGGAUGAAAAUCUCAGUUUUACUGAAAAAGAAAGACCAUUCUGCUGAUCAAGUUGAAAUGCGAAAAGUUCUUGCUUCUCAUAGGACAUGUAAAUGGGAGGGAAAGGUCUCCUAUGGCAACCAUUCAUGAGGACCUUCAAGCAAUAUAAACUCACCAUCAACACAAUCACUUUCGACACAAGAUUUGGAUUGAAAGCUUGAAGACAAGAUUUCGAUGACUACCUAUUUCAUAGUUAUGACUUUUUAUUUUUUAAACAAUAUUAUUUCUAUAUGAUUUUAGGAUAGACUUUAAAGAAUAUAAUACAUUUAAAAAUCAAUUUAAAUAUUGGUGGAUUUGCAAGAACACUACAUUAGAUUAUUCCACAAAAAUGUUUUUAUAUAUAGGAUUUAAUAACGUUAAUUAUGUCACCAAUACUG